UACGGAGGGUGCAAGCGUUAUCCGGAUUCACUGGGUUUAAAGGGUGCGUAGGUGGGUUGGUAAGUCAGUGGGGAAAUCCCCGAGCUUAACUUGGGAACUGCCAUUGAUACUAUCAGUCUUGAAUACCGUGGAGGUUAGCGGAAUAUGUCAUGUAGCGGUGAAAUGCUUAGAUAUGACAUAGAACACCAAUUGCGAAGGCAGCUGGCUACACGAAUAUUGACACUGAGGCACGAAAGCGUGGGGAUCAAACAGG
rnacentral:rRNA from 1 species